rnacentral:rRNA from 1 species
AUUGAACGCUGGCGGAAUGCUUUACACAUGCAAGUCGAACGGCAGCACGGACUCCGGUCUGGUGGCGAGUGGCGAACGGGUGAGUAAUGUAUCGGAACGUGCCCAGUCGUGGGGGAUAACGUAGUGAAAAUUACGCUAAUACCGCAUACGAUCUAUGGAUGAAAGCGGGGGAUCGCAAGACCUCGCGCGAUUGGAGCGGCCGAUAUCAGAGUAGGUAGUUGGUGGGGUAAAGGCCCACCAAGCCAACGAUCUGUAGCUGUUCUGAGAGGACGACCAGCCACACUGGAACUGAGACACGGUCCAGACUCCUACGGGAGGCAGCAGUGGGUAAUUUUGGACAAUGGGCGAAAGCCUGAUCCAGCCAUUCCGCGUGCAGGAUGAAGGCCCUCGGGUUGUAAACUGCUUUUGUACAGAACGAAAAGGUUUCUACUAAUACUAGGAGCUCAUGACGGUACUGUAAGAAUAAGCACCGGCUAACUACGUGCCAGCAGCCGCCGUAA